UUAAAAUGAGAGCUUCGGCAGGAUUUUUAUUUAUCUUAGUGGCGGACGGGUGAGUAACGCGUGAGGAACCUGCCUCAAAGAGGGGGACAACAGUUGGAAACGACUGCUAAUACCGCAUAAGCCCACGAUCCGGCAUCGGAUUGAGGGAAAAGGAUUUAUUCGCUUCAGGAUGGACUCGCGUCCAAUUAGCUAGUUGGUGAGGUAACGGCCCACCAAGGCGACGAUCAGUAGCCGGACUGAGAGGUUGAACGGCCACAUUGGGACUGAGAUACGGCCCAGACUCC
rnacentral:rRNA from 1 species